UACGAGGGGGGCUAGCGUUGCUCGGAAUUACUGGGCGUAAAGCGCACGUAGGCGGCUUUCUAAGUCGGGGGUGAAAUCCUGGAGCUCAACUCCAGAACUGCCUUCGAUACUGGAAAGCUCGAGUCCGGGAGAGGUGAGUGGAACUGCGAGUGUAGAGGUGAAAUUCGUAGAUAUUCGCAAGAACACCAGUGGCGAAGGCGGCUCACUGGCCCGGUACUGACGCUGAGGUGCGAAAGCGUGGGGAGCAAACGGG
rnacentral:rRNA from 1 species